ensembl:lncRNA
GAGAAGAGAGAGAACACAGGUAGAGGAGAAGAAGAGAGAGAAACACAGGUAGAGGAGAAGAGGAGAGAGAACACAGGUAGAGAAGAGAGAGAACACAGGUAGAGGAGAAGAAGAGAGAGAACACAGGUAGAGUAGAAGAAGAGAGAGAACACAGGUAGAGGACUGGAGGACAGAGAACAGGUAGAGGAGUGGAGGACAGAGAACAGGUAGAGGACUGGAGGACAGAGAACAGUAGAGGAGUGGAGGACAGAGAACAGGUAGAGGAGUGGAGGACAGAGAACAGGUAGAGGACUGGAGGACAGAGAACAGGUAGAGGACUGGAGGACAGAGAACAGGACAGAGAACAGGUAGAGGACUGGAGGACAGAGAACAGGUAGAGGACUGGAGGACAGAGAACAGGUAGAGGACUGGAGGACAGAGAACAGGUGGAGGAGUGGAGGACAGAGAACAGGUGGAGGAGUGGAGGACAGAGAACAGGUAGGGAGUGGAGGACUGGAGGAGUGGAGGAGAACAGGUAGAGGACUGGAGGACAGAGAACAGGUAGAGGACUGGAGGACAGAGAACAGGUAGAGGAGUGGAGGACAGAGAACAGGUAGAGGACUGGAGGACAGAGAACAGGUAGAGGACUGGAGGACAGAGAACAGUAGAGGACUGGAGGACAGAGAACAGGUAGAGGAGUGGAGGACAGAGAACAGGUAGAGGACUGGAGGACAGAGAACAGAGAGGACUGGAGGACAGAGAACACUAGAGGACUGGAGGACAGAGAACAGGUAGAGGACUGGAGGACAGAGAACAGGUAGAGGACUGGAGGACAGAGAACAGUAGAGGACUGGAGGACAGAGAACAGCUGGAG